UUAGUUCUAUGAUUUUGCAAUUGCGAAUUGUGCUGCUAUAAACAAGCAUGUGCAAGUAUCUUUUUUGUAUAAUGAGUUCUUUUCCUCUGGAUAUACACUUGGCUGGGUAUGUCUGCUGAUCUUGGCUGGGCUCGCACAUGUGUCUGCUGGUUGUGUGAGAGGCUCUGUUCUAGGCUGGGUUUGGCUGGAACAGCUCUGCUUCAUGUCCUUGUCUCUCCCUGCAGGGACCAGUGUGCUAGCCCAGGGAUGUUCUUCUCAUGGCAAUGACGGAGUGCAAGCAGACACAUGCACAGCCUCUAGAGGACUACAUUUGGCACCAGCUUACUGUCACUUUUGCCUCAUUCUGUUGACCACAAUCUUCUGAACAUGUCCCCAUUCCGUGAGCCCACAGUGAUCUGUUUGUUUUGCCUGGUCCCAGCUCAUGCAUUCUUCAAGUCUUGGUAACCAGGAUGUUUUGUCUGUUCAGGCUCUAAACGAUCAGUGGGACAGGAACCGAAGUUAAGUAGCUCAGGAUGCAUCAAGAUGAACUUGGGAAAACCGCGAGCCGCUGUGCUGACUGGACUGCUUCUCUGAAUCAGCUGGAACUUCUUUUUGUGUCUAGUUUUAAAAGCUCCUCGGAAGCAAUCCUAAAUCCAGAAUCGUUUCAAUUAUUAUGAGGGGAAUUCUGAAGUUCUCAUUAAACACACGAAUGACUCAAGCUUUGAAAAGAGCCAGAUGCCACAGGCAAGAAUCCCAGGGCAUUGCCCACCUGGGUGUGAUCCCCUGAUAACUGUCUAACGAACUCAGCAUGUGUCCCCCGGGGCAUGACCAUCUGCUGGGCAAAGCUCCAGGACCCUGAGACAUCCUGGAAUUCCUGUGGUUUAGGAAAGACCUUUAACUACCAGUGGUAGUUGUCUCAUCGUUCUUCAAAUAAUCUGGUCUUGUUUAUUAUUAUCAUUACUAUUUAAUUUUAUUUUAUUACAGCUGUACUUGGAGAAUAGUCCGGUCUUGAGGCCUUUUCACUGUGGUCUGUUCUAGUGUAUGGCUCCCACCAGUGUGAAGCAGAAGGAUGACUUUGCUCUGUUGUCAGGACAACCUUGAAGGAAGGAGCCAAAUGUGUGGAGGUCUGUG
rnacentral:lncRNA from 1 species